AUGAGAACUUAUGCUUCCAAUUUCUUUCUAUCGGUGAGCCUCAAAGGAGCUACCAGAUCCUUUUGCAUACAAGAAAAGGCAGGAGGAAAUCUGAAGCGACGAGGUGAAGUGGGAGGAGACCGUCUAAUUGGGAUUCAAACCGAGGAGGCGAGUCCACUCCGGGAAGCAGGGCGAGCAGGCGCGCCUCUUCAGCACCACAAGGGUGGACAGCUCCGCUUGAGUUUCUUCCUCUCUUCAGUCGAUGCUCUUGGAAUCUCCCCGAAAAGGGGAUCAGAAGGAAACAGAAGAACAAAGCUGACAUAAGCAC
rnacentral:lncRNA from 1 species